GGUCAUAGCUCAGACAUUCUAAUUUACAAAUGAUGUUAAUUCUUGGACUUUUUGAUUUGUUUUUAAUUGUUUGAUUAUUCCAGUGGUGUCCACGUUUGUUCGUCAUAGCUUAAAGGGUCGUACACCAUGGCAUGCUGAUCAGCAUGGUGGAAAUCUUCUUGACUGAGCUUAAAUUCGCACAUGUCUCGAUUGAGAAAGUUUAUGUCAACAAAAUUUUGCAAAAGAGGUAUUCUAGAAACUGCCGUAAUUCAUUCUCUGUGAUAUUUGUGAAAUUCCUGGGAGUAGUAAUGUGAACCAGUGGAUGAUAUCAAGCUUAAAAAAAAAACAAGAAAAACAAUCAACCCAGGAACUGAGGCAGAUGAAAAACUAAACUUUAGAUGCUGUACUGUAAAGCAAAAUGAAACACAACGAAAACGUUCAGAAACAACAUAAUGCAAACACUGCUUUUAAAAUGGGGCAUCUUAUUCAUUACUAUAAGGACCAAAGUUUGGAUGUUACAUUGCUUUUUAAAAAAACUUUCAUUUUCUUUUCCAUCCUCUCAAGUAAUUCAGUUGCCAGUAUGAUGAACAUUCAAGCUCCCGUUCCGUUCAAGCCAUUCCGUAAAAAACUGUCGGGAACUUCGCGAACAUCUGUAGCCGUUGAGUUUACAGCGAAAAAUUUCUUAUCUUGGAUUAGGACCCACCCGGCUGUUCAAGAAGUUACCUACGAUGCGUAACUAAGAAGUAACUAGAUGGCGUUAGAAGCACAGAAGCCUACGAUGCCUAACUAGCAAGCAACUAGAUGGCGUUAGAAGCACGGAAGCCUACGAUGCCUACCUAGCAAGCAACUAGAUGGCGUUAGAAGCACGAAAGCCUACGAUGCCUAACUAGCAAGCAACUAGAUGGCGUUAGAAGCACGGAAGCCUACUAUGCCUAUAUAGCAAGUAACCAGAUGGCGUUAUAAGUACGGAAGCACCAGGGGCGUGGUUAAAAUGGUUAACUGGAUGAAAACGAGUCUUGGUAAUGGACAAAUGGUAGACGCACGACAUUUUGUUUUUCAUCUGUGUCGUCGAGUUAAUUUUCUGCAUGCCAUCAACUGAAAGCGCUCGCCAUUUUGGUCUUCCCUCAUGCAGGCUGAACUGUCUUCAUGAUUUGGUCUCCUUUUUCUGCCAUAAAAUGGCAGAAAAUUAAUGGAAAUCAAUUUCGUUUAUUAAGAACAAAAGAUUUAGUAAUCCUUGGCAUAAUAAAAACCAAAAAAUGAUUUGGAAGCAUCUGGAGUUUACGGAAGGAAUUGCUGCCUGUGUUUAGUUUUGCUUGAGUAUUGUCACAACCCUCAUGUAACACAAACUAAUGGAGGUCAUGAAGUAUAGCCCUAAGGUUGGUAAAGCUAUAUACAAGGAUAGCAAAAAACAAACAAAGGUGUCAAAGGCAUGUUAAGUCAUACACAGAGCAUUUUUUAAAAAUUAUUUCUCAGAGUAGUAGUUGAUUCAUCAACUAUGCCAAAAGAUUCAUUUCAACACAAACAUCAAAGGUAUGUUGUGCAGUGGAGCCAUUGGGUUGGUAGUGUCUAUCAGAGUGACAUCAAGUUGUACAAAAUAGUAGAACAGAAUUGUCAGAGUAUAGUCGAGCUCUCUGUGACCAUGGCAGAAAAUCGUAGCAUUUGCCGUCAGCUGCAAUUUACAUUGUCCAUCAGCUUUCAGCUAAGGAUAAACUAUCAACGUAUUCCGCACUUUGGCCUGUAUAUCCGUAAAUUUCGAUUGGUCACCUGUAGAAGUUGAAAGCAUCAGCUAACUACAACAUCAAGCUGCUGUCUUGGCUGUUAUCUUUUAUUGAUAGCUGGAAAGACCGCUGGUGUACCGAUGGACUCGUCCGAGUACUAUGUCACAUGUGCGACACGCCACAACGUUCGUUGCUCUCACAUACUUCUCUACCGGGAUACCAGAUUGCUACAAAAUGAAAAAAUACAACAUAACCACAAACUCGGGUUUACCGCAUUUUAAUGUAUGCCUCACCAAGCUACAUUACCAAUUCAUCCGAGUACUACACGACUAAACCUGUGUAUUGCACAACGACUUGUGUUACGUUAACAUAUUCUACCAAAGCCUCGAAAUAUCACCCUUCACUGGUUUACUACACCGACGCUGCCCAAUCUUAUUACGUCGUGUCCAACUACUACGCGUCAACUUAUGCCGCUUCAGUUUACUACACUGAAGAUCUGAAAUGAAAGUCGGUUGGAGUCUACUUUGCUGAGGUUUCUUUUUACUAUAUUACUUCGUUUAUCUCGCGUUGCUCUUAAACUAAGGCCACAGAAUACUACAUCACAAAUGCUGACAAUUACUAUAUUACCGCAUUGCACACAUCUCAUUUCCGGAAUCUUACCCUUCCAGAAGGUGGAAUACCAUACUACAACCCGAGUUACUAUACCGAGAGCAAAAGUUUUUACACCGAAUGCAUAAAGGCAUAAUGCACGUAGAUAAUCCAUAAUUAAAAAUAUGGAAAAUUGCUCACGUGCAUGUAUUGUGUCGUUAUGACCUGCACGUCUAUAGUUCAAAAGAUU